rnacentral:misc_RNA from 1 species
AUUUUUUUCUUACCAUGCGUGUCUGGCUUAUCUCCUGCGCCGCUCAGCUCGUAAAAAAUCUCGCGCCCAGCCGAGCGGCAAAUCACGCGCGCGGGCUUCUCUCCAGCCGCCCUCCUCAGAGUUUUGCCGCUGCCGCUGUUCUUUUUAUAUGCGCGCAGCUCGCCGGCGUUAUCCCCUGCACCGCUUCGGCUUGCAAAAAUCCUGGCCGCCGGUGCUUAUCUCCUCAAGCCGCCGCCCCUGGAUUCCUAUAAAUCUCGCCGGAGUUCUUCUGCUGCCCAUCUUCUUCCUUCUGCGCGAUUCUCUGGUGUCCAGUCGCCCAGCUCCCAUGGCGCGUCGUACUCCUCUGCUUCCCUGACCGCCCUGCCCUGCCUUCCAGUGCCGCAUCCGGCUUCUUCCCCGCCGCGCGCAGCUUCUUCCCAUGGCUGCUUGCGCAGCUGCGCCUCUCUCCUCCCAGGCCUCUCCCAGCGCGCGCGUCUGCUCUUCCAGCGCGUCCAGCCAGCGCCUGCGCGUCGCAGUUUCCUCUCCUGUGCUCUGCUCGCCGAGCUUGGUUUCUCCCUCACCGGCGCGUGCCCAGCCGUGCUCCCUUGCUUCCCUGCCGGCGCCCAUUUUCUUGGCCGCGAGCAAGCUCCCGCGCACGCCUGGCUUGUUCAUGCACUCGCCCCAGCUCGGCCUCUGGCUGCUGUGCACGCUCCCUCCCGCUCCCUGUUCGGCGUCCAACUUCCCUGCGCGCAGCUCGCGCCCAUGCCGCGGCAUCGCCUGCUCGCAGCUCGCGCCCAAGCUCCUCUCUGCCGAACAUUUCGCCCAGCCUCUAGCCUUCUUCCUUGCGCACGGCCUGCCCCAGCUCGCGGAGUUCCCUCGCGGCGUUCAUCUCCCUGCUCAGCUCGCCACGCCGAACUGCCCAGCGCCGCGCGCCUGGCUCGCCCGUCCACGAUCCACCUCGUCCAUGGCCGCGCGUCCAUCUUACUCCUUUGGUCCGCGUCUCUCUGGCUCGGCCGUCUCCAGCUCGCCUUGCUCCCUGCUGCUCGCUCGGCCGAGCUCCCUGGCCACCGCGCCGUGGAUUUUCCUGCGCACGCGUCGCCGUCGAGUUCUCUGGUGUUUGUGCAUCGUGAAGUACCUCCAACGCUGUGGCUUCCCAGUUCCUUCUGGUCGCGCGCAGCUCUCCCAGCUCGUCGGUGUUCCCAGCUCGCCCUGUCUGCGCGCCGCGCUCUCUUGUUGUGGUUUUCUGCUUCCUUGUCGCGCGCGCAGCAUUUCGUUUUCCCUCGUCGUGCCAAGUUCUCCUCUGCACGCAGUCGCGUCCUGUUUCCUGCUCGUCAGUGUGCCCUCUCGGCUCGCUCGGCUUUAAUUCCCAAUCGCGUCGUCGACCUCAUCAUUCGCCGUCGUUCGUCGUCCUCUAGUCCCAGUUCGACCCAUCCGUGCUUUCGCUCCUCAUUCAUCAGGCUUCGCAUGUGCUCGUCGUUUGCCGUCGAGUCAUUGAACCCGUCAUCCCCGGCUUGAUCCCCACCUCACCAGCUUACUCCAGACUUCAAUCGAAGGUCGUCGUCGUUCGUGCAUCCCCAAGAAAUCCCAAGAAUCAGGUGAAGACGAAGACCAGCAGCGUGGUGUUCACCAAGUACGCGACAAAAAGCUCGGACAUCCUGCGUGACUCAAGUUCAAUUCGUCAAAAUUAUUCAGUCGAGGAAAAGAUCUUCAGCAAUUGAUUACCGAAGAAAAGAAGGCCCCUGGAUGACGUCAACCGGAAACCGUCGUCGUGCUUGUGACUAUCACGUCAAAUUAGUUAGGGUAAGUUGAUUCGUACUCCAGUCAACUAAGUCUAUAAAUAGAUUAAAUAGAAUUAUUGAUCGCGA